rnacentral:rRNA from 1 species
UACGUAGGGAGCAAGCGUUGUCCGGAAUCAUUGGGCGUAAAGCGCGCGUAGGCGGCCCUGUAAGUCCGUUGUGAAAGUCAAAGGCUCAACCUUUGAAAGCCGAUGGAUACUGCAGGGCUGGAGUCCGGAAGAGGCGAGUGGAAUUCCUGGUGUAGCGGUGGAAUGCGCAGAUAUCAGGAGGAACACCAAUAGCGAAGGCAGCUCGCUGGGACGGUACUGACGCUA